rnacentral:lncRNA from 1 species
UGUAGAGGAGGAGGCGGACUGGUUCUGUCUUCAGGGACGGGUGUAGACUUUUGGAGUCGUACGUUGUGACUACAUCACCGUUUUCCCAUGUUGCAGUUCGUAGUUUGUGCAGUGCUUGCAUUGCUGUGUUAGUUGUAUUUUCCCCUUGAGAAGGUUAUUACUGCAGUAGGAGACAUAGCCAUACCACAAUACGCAGAACAGUUGUUUAAGAAAGGUCCGAUGUAUGCCAUCGAGGAGAAUUUAGAUAUAAGAAAUGAAAUGCACUAUGUAGUAGUGUUGAAUAGUCUGCCAGCACAAGACAUCGAAAAAGAAAAGUUGCGGUGGCAAUUUGUUAGAGAGAAGUCUAAAAGAAAAACAAGGGCAGCUGAAACACGACUAUGGAAAGAGGAUUUGUCCUUACUUAGACUGACGAGAAAUUGGAUGAGAAAUGAGGGCCUCAUUUUUACAUGAGACGACAAAACUAAGAGAAUGGUAUUAAUGGAAGAACAUAGCUAUAAAGAUUUCCUAAAG